rnacentral:rRNA from 1 species
GACGAACGCUGGCGGCGUGCUUAACACAUGCAAGUCGAACGCUGAAGCCCUGGCUUUUGUUGGGUUGGAUGAGUGGCGAACGGGUGAGUAACACGUGAGUAACCUGCCCUCUUCUUUGGGAUAACGCCCGGAAACGGGUGCUAAUACUGGAUAUUCACUGCUCUUCGCAUGGGGGUUGGUGGAAAGGUUUGUUCUGGUGGGGGAUGGGCUCGCGGCCUAUCAGCUUGUUGGUGGGGUGAUGGCCUACCAAGGCUUUGACGGGUAGCCGGCCUGGGAGGGUGACCCGUCACAUUAGGAAUGGGAUACGGCCCAGACGCCUACAGCAGGCAGCAGUGGGGAAUAUUGCACAAUGGCCGAAUGCAGGAUGCAGGGACGCCGCGUGAGGGAUGGAGGCUUUUGGGGUGUAAACCUCUUUCGCGCAUGGUCACGCCGCAACUGUGGGUUGUGGUGAGGGUAGUGGGUAAAGAAGCGCCGGCUAACUACGUG